AUACGGAGGAUGCGAGCGUUAUCCGGAUUUAUUGGGUUUAAAGGGGGCGUAGGUGGGAUAUUAAGUCAGCUGUGAAAGUUUGGGGCUCAACCUUAAAAUUGCAGUUGAUACUGGUUUCCUUGAGUACGGUAUAGGUGGGCGGAAUUCGUGGUGUAGCGGUGAAAUGCUUAGAUAUCACGAAGAACUCCGAUCGCGAAGGCAGCUCACCGGGCCGGAACUGACACUGAUGCUCGAAAGUGCGGGUAUCAAACAGGAUUAGAUACCCUGGUAGUCCGCACAGUAGACGAUGAAUACUCGCUGUUUGCGAUACACUGUAAGCGGCCAAGCGAAAGCGUUAAGUAUUCCACCUGGGGAGUACGCCGGCAACGGUGAAACUCAAAUGAAUUGGCGGGG
rnacentral:rRNA from 1 species